AUUUCUGGUACCGCACAGUGUGAAUUGAAGACAUUUUGAUUCCGGUCCCAGAGUUUCAUAAUUCAGACGAUUUGCACAGACAGCACAGGGACAUUUUGGUGGAUACUAAGGUUUUGACUAUUCAUCUAAAGAGAGAAGCUAUCUUCUUUGCAUCUACCUUGGUGAGGAUGAGGGAUGCCUAGUGAAAGAGUACAUGGAAUUCUAACAAGCAAGAGCAGAUGGUCCAGAAUUUUGGGCAUUUUCACAUGACUUGAAUACUUGAGGCUGACCAUGGAUCCUUCUGAACUCUGGCUUUAUGCCUGCUUUUUUCACCAAUGUGAAAACCACAAAGGUCUGACGCCAGGCGGAACUGAGUUUGCCUGGAGCAGAGAGAUGGAGAAACGGGGAGACCGAGAUACCGGAAACUGUAUAGGAGUGUACAGUCAUGUCUAUUGGCACGAGUUAACGGAUUUAUCACCGUGUGAAGAGGAAGAGGGAGAGAUUUACUAUGAGUUCUCAAGCUUGCCAGCACCGAGGAACCUGGUCUGACCAAUUUUCAGCACCCUUUACUAAAAUAUGGAGCGUUUCUUCAGAGCUGCUGAUUUGGAUUCAGUGUUUUCAGAGAGGUUGAAGUGACAACACGGAGUUGAAAGCUGUUCUGGGAUCAGUGUGUGCUGCAGAGCUGAAUUUGAAGUGUGAGGAGAAAUUUCGACAUGGCUCAAGCCUGUCUGAUGUACGGUAAAGGGUUUACGACAGGAAUGACUCGGCUGUACAUUCAAACACUCGGCUUCACCUCCAUUUGUAGAUAACCAAGUUAGCAUGCGCGUAAAUAAUCAUCGUAGCUGUGGCGCUUCAGACCUGUAAGCUCUAAACUGGCCGAGUGUGUCAGAGUGUGUGUUAUGUAGUGAUUUCACUGCAGGCUUGGGUUCCACGGUGAGUGUGUUUAGCACAGCAUAACAGCCUUUUCAUUUCACUUGAUGCGUUUGACUCAAUAAAG